GCCGGGCGCGGUGGCUCAAGCCUGUAAUCCCAGCACUUUGGGAGGCCGAGACGGGCGGAUCACGAGGUCAGGAGAUCGAGACCAUCCUGGCUAACACAGUGAAACCCCGUCUCUACUAAAAAUACAAAAAAUUAGCCGGGCGUGGUGGCGGCGCCUGUAGUCCCAGCUACUCGGGAGGCUGAGGCAGGAGAAUGGCGUAAACCCGGGAGGCGGAGCUUGAAGUGAGCGGUCACCCCUCAACGCAAGCUCCGCCUCCCGGGUUUACGCCAUUCUCCUGCCUCAGCCUCCCGAGUAGCUGGGACUACAGGCGCCCGCCACCACGCCCGGCUAGUUUUUUGUAUUUUUUAGUAGAGACGGGGUUUCACCGUGUUAACGAGGAUGGUCUCGAUCUCCUGACCUCGUGAUCCGCCCGUCUCGG
rnacentral:sRNA from 1 species